rnacentral:rRNA from 1 species
UUCGGUCAGCGGCGGACGGGUGAGUAACACGUGGGCAACCUGCCCGCAAGACCGGGAUAACUCCGGGAAACCGGAGCUAAUACCGGAUAACACCGAAGACCGCAUGGUCUUCGGUUGAAAGGCGGCCUUUGGGCUGUCACUUGCGGAUGGGCCCGCGGCGCAUUAGCUAGUUGGUGAGGUAACGGCUCACCAAGGCGACGAUGCGUAGCCGGCCUGAGAGGGUGACCGGCCACACUGGGACUGAGACACGGCCCAGACUCCUACGGGAGGCAGCAGUAGGGAAUCUUCCGCAAUGGGCGAAAGCCUGACGGAGCGACGCCGCGUGAGCGAAGAAGGCCUUCGGGUCGUAAAGCUCUGUUGUGAGGGACGAAGGAGCGCCGUUCGAAGAGGGCGGCGCGGUGACGGUACCUCACGAGAAAGCCCCGGCUAACUACGUGCCAGCAGCCGCGGUAAUACGUAGGGGGCGAGCGUUGUCCGGAAUUAUUGGGCGUAAAGCGCGCGCAGGCGGUCUCUUAAGUCUGAUGUGAAAGCCCACGGCUCAACCGUGGAGGGUCAUUGGAAACUGGGGGACUUGAGGGCAGGAGAGGAGAGCGGAAUUCCACGUGUAGCGGUGAAAUGCGUAGAGAUGUGGAGGAACACCAGUGGCGAAGGCGGCUCUCUGGCCUGCACCUGACGCUGAG